rnacentral:rRNA from 1 species
GCGAGUGGCGAACGGGUGAGGAAUGCAUCGGAACGUAUCCUUAAGUGGGGGAUAACGCAUCGAAAGGUGUGCUAAUACCGCAUAAUCUCUGAGGAGAAAAGCAGGGGAUCGCAAGACCUUGCGCUUUUGGAGUGGCCGAUGUCUGAUUAGCUUGUUGGUGAGGUAAAAGCUCACCAAGGCUUCGAUCAGUAGCUGGUCUGAGAGGACGACCAGCCACACUGGGACUGAGACACGGCCCAGACUCC